rnacentral:sRNA from 2 species
GAGGACCGGACGCCGAGUCUUCGAAGCACCGAGCGUGUGGAGGGGAGCCGGGGACCCAACUGCGAGUCGGGCCGAGUGCGGCCCGUGUCGACAAGGGGUGAAUCCGAAAGGUAGGGCUGCUCCGGCCCGAACCCGUCAGCUAACCCGGUAGGCGCCCAGGAGUGCCGUA